rnacentral:lncRNA from 1 species
CGCCGAAUAAAACAGGAGAGACACCUUCCCAUUCAAUGACAAUAUGAAGAAACUCCACACACAAAAACGCUGAAAAAGGUUUACCAAUACCACCAACACGAGAGCGAAAAAUACUCAGAUAACAAAUCCACUUCUGUUUCUAAACUGGAACCCUUAAUCUCUGCAAAUGUUUAAUUACUCUUAAAGUCUCUUCAAUUAAGGAAAAAAAUCUGGCACGCAAGCCCAUCCCUGCAGCCCAGGCACCCUGCACAACAGUGACGAGGAGGAGGAGGAACCGGAGGGGUGCCGCGAUCUCGCUCCAGUCCGGGGGGCGUGUUCCCCAAGGUUUUCGUUUCCUUUUUACUGCAACGACAGCUGCAGCGCCACAAGGAGCACUAAGCCACACGGUCCCGGGGCCCCAAGACAUUGUGUGGGGACAGAAAGGAAAGGAGGAUCUGAGGUUUCCAAAGGUGCAGAGGGAAAGGAUCGGCGCGGGGCCGGACAGGGAUCGACCACCCGGUCUGGAAUCCAGACAAGCCGGCGGAAGUGACGCCACGACACCGGCCUGUUUCCUUGGAAACAGAGACGCCGUAUGCUCCUUUGCUCCGAGGGAGGAGUCUGGGGUUUCCUGAGGAGCUUUCCAUUCGCACCCGGAAACUGAGAAUUAGCACAGUUUGGUAUGACAUCGCGUGAAAAUGCACUUUUACAACAUCAGGAGGAGGUUGGAAGUGAGUCAUCAGAUGAUUCAGCUAUGGAUGAUGACCUGGAUCAUGUAAGCCAAAGGAGUUGUGACAGUGAUAUGACAGAGAAGGUACAGAAUGAAGACCUUGAUUCAGACGAGGAAGAAGACAAUGAUGUAAAUUAAUAUUUAACUAGUCAAAAUGCUACAAAGUGGUCACGUAUAUAAGAAUGAUCCAACGUUAGAACUAAGUCAGAAUAUGUUGGCAGAUUCUUGCCAGGAUUGAAACCUAUUGGACUUAAUGCCAACUCUGCGAUUCACUGUUGGAAAUUGUAAUGUACAGUAUGCGACAAGAUGUUUUGAAGCACACUAAUGAAAUACAAUUGAAACAUGGUAUAUGCAUCUAUAGUAAUACUCAAAGAUAUAUUAAUCUUUUUUGGGGGGUGGGUUGAGACAGAGUCUCACUAUGUAGUUGAGACUGACCUGGAACUCUCUAUGUAGCCCAGGCUGGUCUCGAACUCACAGUGAUGCUCCUGCCUCAGCCUCCAGAGUGCUGGGAUUACAGGUAUGCGCCACCACACCCGGUUAAAAUAUAUUAAUCUUGAUACCUCACUAUCUGAACUAAAAGCUUCACAGCAGGACUUUAUCGUGUGAGACUCUAAAGGAUCUAUGGAGAAGUGACAGGUGUGGCAUUGAGAUUUUUAGAACAAUAAUCACAUGCAAGAAGAUUUGGUUUCCUUCAAAAUGCCUACAUUUUGACAACAAAAAGACAUUCCAAAAAAAGAAAAAAUCCAACAAUUUGACUCCUAGUCACUCAUUUUUGAAAGAUUUUUUUGAACUGUCAAGCAAUUUAUACACUAUCUGAAUUCAUGACAACUGACAAAC